rnacentral:rRNA from 1 species
AACGAACGCUGGCGGCAUGCCUAACACAUGCAAGUCGAACGAGACCUUCGGGUCUAGUGGCGCACGGGUGCGUAACGCGUGGGAACCUGCCCUUAGGUUCGGAAUAACUCCCCGAAAGGGGUGCUAAUACCGGAUAAUGUCUUCGGACCAAAGAUUUAUCGCCUUUGGAUGGGCCCGCGUUGGAUUAGCUAGUUGGUAGGGUAAAAGCCUACCAAGGCGAGGAUCCAUAGCUGGUCGGAGAGGAUGAUCAGCCACACUGGGACUGAGACACGGCCCAGACUCGUAGGGGAGGCAGCAGUGGGGAAUAUUGGACAAUGGGCGAAAGCCUGGUCCAGCAAUGCCGGGUGAGUGAUGAAGGCCUUAGGGUUGUAAAGCUGUUUUACCCGGGAUGAUAAUGACAGUACCGGGAGAAUAAGCUCCGGCUAACUCCGUG